rnacentral:ncRNA from 2 species
GUAAAAUUGGGGUGUUGUGCUUAUAUAAGUUCAUGAUUGGGUGAACGUUUCUACCAACUACCGGAAUAGUUGACUAUAGGCGGCAGCCUGGCUGUC